GGCAGGCUGUGCACUGUGACCUGGGGCCUUGCUGUGAACAAAGAGGACUUCAAGAGGAGAUGGCCUGGAGGAGUUCGCCUUUGUGGUCAUUUUGCUUCAGCGGACCAGUCAGCAAAUAAUGACUGCCCUUGGUCAUCCCUGGGAAGAUAAAGGAUUAUUAAAAGAGGGCCCGGCAGCUUGCAGAUUACACCUGCUACAUUUGGAGUGGAAAGAGGCUUCUCUGUCAGUGCCCCUUGCCCCCAUGGAAAGACACUAAUAGCAAUCUUCAACCAUAAUUGUUUGGUCCAUUUUGUUCUGGACCAAGUUUGCAUAAGUUUUAAGCCUGAAAGUCAAAGAAAAACGAAAUCUUACACGUCAACAUGGCCUUUCCAUCACUUGAAAAAG
rnacentral:lncRNA from 1 species